UCGGUUUGUAAUCGACAUAGAGAGCUCUUUCAAGUAAUAUCUUCACGGUUGGCACAUUUUCGAAUCCUUAUAAAAGUGUGUAGAAUAAAGUUGAAUCUUGCAAACAAUCGCGGCUGACUAGUGAUAGAGGGCUUUCCUCUGUAAUGUGAUGGUAUGCUUUCCGGUCCGUGAUAGAAGAUUGUUGUGAAGAUACGCAUAUUACUUUCAGAAAAUAUGUAAAUAGACCUCCUAUGGAUGCUCAAUUAUUGUAGUAUCAAAUUUUCUGAAUUUUCGACUGAUCAACACGUGAGCAAUGGUCAGAUUGAAGAGAGGAAAUAAUGUCCAAAACAGCUGAAGCCAGUAGGACCUUUGAUAGACAAUAUUGGAAAAUUUUACCUCACUUAUUUCCGGGGCUGAUCAAGAACCUGCAUCACAGAAGCAAAUAUCAUGUCACUAUACGUUUCGAGCUUCGACAAACUAUUUGGAAACAAUUUAUGUUUAGACAAAAAUGAAUCAAAUCUCCUAUUUUAGCUAUAAAACAAGAGCCNNNNNNNNNNNNNNNNNNNNNNNNNNNNNNNNNNNNNNNNNNNNNNNNNNNNNNNNNNNNNNNNNNNNNNNNNNNNNNNNNNNNNNNNNNNNNNNNNNNNNNNNNNNNNNNNNNNNNNNNNNNNNNNNNNNNNNNNNNNNNNNNNNNNNNNNNNNNNNNNNNNNNNNNNNNNNNNNNNNNNNNNNNNNNNNNNNNNNNNNNNNNNNNNNNNNNNNNNNNNNNNNNNNNNNNNNNNNNNNNNNNNNNNNNNNNNNNNNNNNNNNNNNNNNNNNNNNNNNNNNNNNNNNNNNNNNNNNNNNNNNNNNNNNNNNNNNNNNNNNNNNNNNNNNNNNNNNNNNNNNNNNNNNNNNNNNNNNNNNNNNNNNNNNNNNNNNGGGCAAUAUGGACCUUUGACAUAUCGUACACAAUUUUGUAUGAUGGGUCACCCGACGUAUACGGACGUACGUGGCGACAAUACAGUGUUAUGUGCACCUUGGCAGGCCCAGCCCAUUUAUGUUUUUUUUUAAACUUCAAAAAAUACAGGUUCCACCUAUAGUACUGAAGGCGCUAACCACUGGGGUACUUUAACUGUUGUGCUAGUGUACUUAUUUCCUCCUUAUGGCAGCUAUAACCAGUGGCGGAGCCUGAAUAUAGAGGAGGCCAAAACAUGUCAUAUAAUGUUAGAGGGGGCCAAAUCACCUAAAUCUAGCUAAUUUUCUCUAACAAAUGAAGGAUUAGGAGUACAUAUAGGUGUAUUUGUGAGAGCAUGGGGGGGCCAAGGCCCCUGCCAGCAACCCCCUGCCUCCGCCACUGGGUAUAACGCUAAUAAAAAAAGCACGCGUUCCCGGACUGAUUUUAUUCAGUUCAGCCGUUUUUAUUCUGGGUUUUUUCGUUUUCUCUUAUUUCUUUCUAUAUUUUCGUUUUCCUUUCUUAAAUCGGAAUUCUUUUUAAAUGAAUUUAAUUUUUUUCAAAUUUCGUGAACAUCAUUUCACAAAUUUCAUGAACUUAUUUUCAAAUCCAUGAACAUUUUGAAAUUCAUGAACUUUAUCAAAUUCAGUGGGUUUUUUAAUUCAUGAAGUUCUUAAAAAUUCAUGCACUUUAUAAAUUUUCAUGAACUUAAUUUUCAAAUUAGUGAACUUUUUUGAGAUUAUGUGAACAUUAUUCGCAUUUGUAGAUUUUCAAAGUCAUGAACUUUUUCGAAUUUCAUGAUUUGUUUAUCAAAUUUGUGAUUUGUUUGAAUUUUUGUGAUUUUGUUUCAAAUUCAUGAACAUUUUUAAUAUUUGGGAACAUAUUUUGGAAUUUCAUGGCCUCAUUUUAAAAAAUUUGAACUUUUAUAGAAAAAUUACAAAGUUUUUAAACAUAUCAUGAAUUUUUUUUAAUUUAUGCACCUUUUCUAGGCUCGCGAACUUUUUUCAAAUUCGUGACCUUUUUGUGUCCGCUUUUAUUUCAAAUUCGUGAAUUUAAAAAAAUCAUGAGCACAUGGAACUUUUUUCCAGCGGUCAGCAACAUAUCCUAAUCCAUGUGCUCAUACGCUCACCCGCGCCUGCUCACCUGCUCGGCCGCUCAGUGUGAGAGCCGCAUUGCUGGGCUGGCCAAAAAAUCCUAUCGCGUGAGCGCUGAAUGGCUUACCUGGCGCAACAAGCGCUCAUUAGGAGCUCCCUACAUUCGGAGGGUAGCAUCAAAUAGACUGCGCCACGCACAGGAGGCUGCCCGACUGGGCCCGCCUAUGAAGCUGGAAGGAUGACUACCAUGGGCAUGCCCACCUGCUCGAAAAGGUUGUGACCAUGUUAAGAUGUUCAAAACUAAACCAUGUUAAAUGUAGAGUGUUCAGGUUGUCCAGAAGGCUCCGUCUGAGAGCAUGUUGUUUUCCAACUUCCUUCAAAUGGCCCCAUAUUUUCCACCAGCUUAUAUGACCAAUUCAAGGCACCAUGCCGAAGUUGUUUGUGUUUUGGGAGAUUCUUGCAUUUUGGAGUUUUCUAGGUGAAAAUGGUCGAUAAAUGGCCAGACAUGACGCAACUUGUAUACGGUGUCAGAAUUCAUUAAAAUCUGGCAUGGAUGCCUACUAUAGGCAUGCGCAUCUACUGAAAAACGUUGGGGAUCAUUUGACACAUGUCCUAAAAAAUAAAGUUGAAUGGAGUGUGUUCGCUUUGGUGAGAAGGCUCCGUCCAAGAGCACGUUGUCUCUUGACAUCCUUUAAAUGAGCCAAUUUUUUCCAUGAGUUUAUAUGGCCAAUUAAAGGCACCAUGCCAUGUUUUCUUAGUUUUAGACAAUUUUUGUGUUUUCUGGAGUCUUCUCGAUCAAAAAAGGCCGAUAAAUGGCCGGACAUGUCGCACUUGCAUAUGAUGUCGAAAAUCGUUCAAACCUGGCAUGCAUGCCUAUCAUGGGCAUUCCCACCUACUUGCAAAAUUUUGGGUCAUUUUAAGAAUGUCUGAAAGUAGAUCAUGUUCAACGGUGGGUGUUUGGCUAGGCGAGAAGGGUCCGUUUGAAAGCAUGUUCUUUUGACAUCCGUUAAAUGGCCCCAAUUUUUUUUCCACCAUCAUCUAUGACCAAUACAAGGCACCAUGCCAAGUUCUUCGAGUUUUUGACAAUUCUUGCACUUUUUUUCGAGUUUUCUUGGUGAAAAUUCGCCAAUAAAUGGCCAAACGUGACACAACUUGCAUACGAUGUCAGAAUUAGUUCAAACCUAGCAUGGAUGCCUCAUAUGUCCGUGCCAGGUUGCUGCAGGAAGUUGAGAUCAUUUACCAAUUGUCCAAAAAACCACCAGUUUAGAGGAGUGUGCUAGACUAGGCCGGAUAGGUGCAUCUAUGAGUAUGUUCUUUUUCCAAAUUGGAUUGCAUUUGUUAUUUGCAAUUUCCUUCAUUAUCAAUCAACAUAAACAUUCUUUUAUAUCCUAACUAUUUCUUUAAAUUUCUUAACAGUUUUGUAAUUUCAAAUUGUGUAUGAAAAUUUUACAAACUUGAACACUUUUUCCAAAAAAAUUACCAAGUUCCCAACAAUUGAUAUUAAACACAAAUUGCAAAUAACAUACUUUUUCUUAAAAUUUAUCAACUUUUUUAAAAUGCAAACAUUUCUUCAAUUUGGGAACAAACAAUUAAAAAUAGGCACAUUUUUUGAAAUUCAAGAACAUUUAUUUAAAAUGUAACAGUAUAUGAAAACAAGAAAAAAGUUUGGUAUUCCAAAUAAUAUUUCAAAUAUUUUAAGGUUUCAAAAACAAUAAUAAAUUUCAAAAAUGAUAAAAAUGAAUUAACAAGAAAAGAAAGAAACAUGAAAAAUAGAAAUUAAACGCUUAGGCCUUGGCCCAACUAGGCGACCGCAUUGCUCCCCGUUGGGUGCCUAUUGGGCCAGCCCAAGCGUUAGCAGAUUUGAAUAAAGUUCAUCAAUUUUAAAAAAAAUGCUCACGAAUUUAAAAGAAUUGCAGGUUUUAAAAAAAGUUCGUCAAAGUUAAAAGGAGUUUGUGGAUUUGAGAAAAAGUUCACGGAUUUGAAAACAAAGUUCAUGAAUUUAAGAUAACGUUCACAAAUUUAAGAAGUUGACAAUUUUAAGAACUAAUCCAUGAUUUAAAAUAGUUCAUGAAUUUAAAAAAAUAAUGAAAGAGAAAAAUAAAAUAACAAAAGAAAUAGCGGACAAACAAAAACCAAAAAAAAAAGAAACAAGCUCGCAUUGGUUAGUGUUAUAUUUGAAAAGGAAAAAAAGGUAACUAGACACAAUAAGAAAGUAGUCCAGUUGAUUAUUGCGGUAGGUGUUGGGUUCGAAUCCUAUCAGACACACAUUUAUUGAAGGUUUUAAAUAAGUGGGAAAAAGGUAGCAAAUGGGCCAGCCCAAGUGGCACGGCACACAAGCCGUGUAUAGCGCGGUGCGGGCGACGUAUUUUAAGAAGAGACCAUCCUACCACUUAUUUUGAAGGGGUGUGGAGAGAUCUCAGCGCUCAAUGUAUUUAGGGGUGGGAUGUACCGAAGCAGAAGUGACAAAAUAAACAUGAAUGAUGCACCAAUAUGUCGAUGCCUAUAUAAAGUUUGCUUACUUCUCUUGUAGACUGACAUGUCUCACUACUACAGGAUGCUGUGAACAUGACAAUAUAAUCAGAGACCUUCGACGAAAUUAUAUGUGAUGCAUUAAUGCAAACGGUGUUUUUGUAGUUCUUCAGUAUAUGUACUUGUGCAUCGAAUUAUGCAUUCAUUCUUGAACCUAUAUUUAUAAUAAACAUGGUUUGAUAUGAAAAAAGUGAUUGUCUACUUUCAAAUUCAAAAUCUAUGAAUUUUAAAUGCAGGAAAUAAAUUAGGGAUAAAUUAUAUUUUGUAGGCCAGUACACUGCACACGGUUUGCGAAAGCAAAACGUAUGUGAUAAACAUCAAGACUAGACACGUUUCUCAAAUCUACUACGUGUGCGAUGAAUCUCCACUGCACACACGAUUAGCCAAGAAAAAUGUGUGAGAUUGACAACAUCAAUGCACACAGCUCCUUAUUAAAUGUUUGCGAAAGUUACCUUAUCACACACGCUUGGCAAUUAUUGACUGUUUAUGAUGUCGUACGCAUCGUAAACGUUUGCUCAUAGAAGAACACGUGCGAUAGGCCUUCAUCCGAGGCGGGUACGACGGAUGAAUCAUGUGGGAUAUAUUUAAGAUUCACAUAUAUAUUUUUAUAGGGACAAGUAUAUGCACUGAUACAAUGAAUCGCAUACAGUUGAGGAAAAGUAAAUGUGUGUGAUUGUCUGUUUAUCAUACACGUUCUACAAUCGUGAACUGUUUGUGAUGGGGCGUGCAUCGCAAACGUAGCACCACAGAAUACCUACUGCGAUGAUAAUGCGAGCACAAACGAGUAGGAAGGAUGGAGCGUUUGGGAUAUUCUACAUAUCAGAAAUAGUUGUCUAAAGACUCGCAUUCGGGAUAGAUGCCGGCAUCGCAUACGCUUAAUUAUGCAAAACGUAUGCAUUGCCACUUCUUAUCCCCGACGGUUUCUGGGUCAUAUGGAAAGGACCCCCUAUCACACACACUGGCAAGACGACGGUUUAAAAUGCCGUCGCAAAAAGGGUUUAAAAACCGUUUGUAUAGCAGCUCAUUGUACUAGUGUUUGAUACACAGUUGUGAACACAUUUCUUUUUUUUUCUUUGUCUUUCUUUGCGAGAAAACUUUCGAUCUAUUCAUCUUCAAUCAUAUCAAUACAAUAAACAUCAAAAAUAAUAAAAAUUACAUCCAAAUUCGUAGACCACCUAGCGACGACUACAAACACUCCUCCACAAAAUACAUGUUGGAGGCAUGUCCUCCGGGGGGUACUACAUCACAUAUAUGUAUUGAUCAUAAUUCUAAUGUAUUUCUUCCAAAAGAAACAAAAAAGGAAGAGAAGAUGAUGCCGAGGAAGAAAAGAAGAAAAUGCAAGAAAGAUGUCUCAAUAAGGAGCUGUUGAAGUGUAUAUGUGGAUUGGCUAGCCCUUUCUAUCAAUUCGGACUUUUGGUUAUGUUGGCUAGUGUUGGAAAUAUGCUCUAGAGGCAAUAAUAUUUAUAUUAUUAUAUUUUCUUAUUCAUAAUUCAAGAGUUUAUAUUCUAUGUUAUAAUUGCUAUGAUCCUGGAAUACAUGAUUAAGUGGAAAACUCAUAUGCACGUGUGGAAUGAGAAACGAUUAAAUAAAAGAUUCCUAGUCUUGCCUACAGGACUAGCUCAAGCGUUGUUGGCGAUCAUAUUUUUCGAAUUUUAAGAUAUUGUUAAGUAUCAAACAAUAGCCCUAAAAAAACAUUGAGAUUAUGACAUUGAAAGAAUGAUCAUAUUGAAUCGACCCAAAUUUGUCUGCUAUGAAUUGAGUAAUAUUGUCUAUAAUCAAUUGUGAUAACACGAAGUGUUAACAUGUGAUUUUGCUCCUUAGACCAUGAGAGUAUUGUAGUCACUUCUUACCGUAAAGUGAGCUUUGGGGUUGCUCAAAUGUCACCUGUAACACGGUGAUCAUAACGACAACUUACAGGUUCAUCCGAAAGUUUGACAAGGGACUAGAUAGCUCAAGAGUGAGGUUUGCUCCUCCGGCAAUGGAGAGAUAUUCUUAGGGCCCUCUCGGUGUGAUGGUGUCCAUAAUCAUCUAGCCAAACACAAGUGACUAUGUCACGGGGAUACAUGCUUAUAAUAAGAACUUGCAGGACAUCUUUUGUCCUACCCUCCCGUGACAGCGGGGUCCAUAAGAAAAUCUAAGGGAUAUUAAGGCCUCCUUUUAAUAGACAACCGAAACAAAGCAUUAGCAUAUGAGGAAUACAUUAACUCCUCAGACUACGGUAAUCACCAGAAAGAAUCCCAAUUAAUGUCACGAUGGUGUAUGAGGAUCAUAACACGUAAUAGGUGAAUACAACUUGCAAGAUAGGAUCAAUAACUCAAAUAUAUUCAUGAAAACAUAGACGGUUCUGAUCUGAAAUCAUGACACUCGGGCCCUAGUGACAAGCAUUAAGCAUAGCAAGGUCAUAGCAACAUCAAUCUCAGAACAUAGUGGAUACUAGGGAUCAAGCCCUAACAAAUUGACUCGAUUACAUGACAAAUCUCACCCAACCCCAUCACCGUCCAGCAAGCGUACGAAGGAAUUACUCACUCCCGAUGGUGAGCAUCAUGAAAUUGGUGAUAGAGAAGGGUUGAUGGUAAUGAUGGCGAUGAACCCCCCUCUCCGGAGCCCCGAACGGACUCCAGAUCAGCCCUCCUGAUGAAGAAUAGGAGAUGGUAGUGACUCCGUAUCGUAAAACGCAAUGAAACUUCUUCUCUUAUUUUUUUUACUCGGGAAGACGGUAUUUAUAGACUUAAGAUUAGGGUCAGCGGAGCCACGUGGGCCCCAUGAGGUAACAUGGGCGCGCCUAGGGGGUGGUCGCGCCCUGUUGCCUUAUGGGAAACUGGUGGCCCCCUCAUGUGGAUAUUCACUCCAUUAUUUUAUAUAUGUUCCAUAUAAAAUCUCCAAAAAGUUUCGUCCAAUUCUGAGAACUUUUAUUUCUGCACAAAAAUAACACAAUGAUAGUUCUGCUGAAAACAGCGUCAGUUCGGGUUAGUUUCAUUUAAAUCGUGCAAAUUACAGUCCAAAACAAGAGCAAAAGUGUUUGAAAAAAUAGAUACGACGGAGUUGUAUCAAUGAGCUAAGACAUUGGGCGGCGGAGGAGGAUUCGGCGGUUGCGGGGGCGGCGUUCACACCCUAUAAAAUAGAUCGAGGAAGUAGCUCGAUCGAGAGAGGAGUCGUGCAGUGUGUUUUUUUCCCGUCGGUGUUUGAGAGGACUUCGUUUGGCCAAUUUUUCUCUAUUACGUGCGAGGAGGCAUCAUUCCCUGGUUUUUGCUACGUGGGAGGGGAGCGUUUUGGCGGGAGGAAAGACAAAAAAACCAGACAAAUGUGGGAGGAGAAACGAAUAAAAGCCAAACGAAGAUGAGAGGAGAGAUGAAAAUAAACCGUGGAGCGAAGACUACCGAGUCCCCCUUUAGGAAUACAUAUAUAUGUCAGUAGGAACAUUUCCUACUGUCUUGAAUGCUAAGAAAACCAAGAACACUAUGAAGAUGGCGGUAACGAUCAAACUCACCGACGAGCAGAGUAGCGAAAGCAGUGACGAGUCGUGCAGCGCGACGAUUGCCACCGAUUCCCAUAGCUAGGUUUUAGCUCCUAGUCGCGAGAAUGUUCCCCAAGACAAGAGUCGAAUUGAGGUAUCUACGCGUUUCGAAGUCCGGCAGAAUUUAGACGUCCAGGAAGAACUCUGAGAAAACUAGAGAGAGAAAGCCUAGCAACACUUUUCGUCUAAUUAAGAGUCUAAUUCUAUUAGACCAAUUAGACCAAAAUUAGAGCACAUCUAAUUAGAAUCUUAAACACUUAGGCCAAUCAGACCGAGAGAGCGUGGAGCUAUGCGGGAGAGAUCCCCUUUGGAUUGGUGUGUUGCAAUAGGGAGCCUUCCACACAUAUAUAAAGGUGGAGAGGGAAGGGGGCCCAACAGGAGCAAUCCUUCUGCUCUUCCAUUUCGUGAAAGCAGGGAAGGACUCCCUCCUUAAUAGGAUUCGGUAUAGGCCUUCCUUAGGGAGGUGGCACCCUAUGUGGGCCCCACUAGGACAACUACGGGUGGUCAUCUCAUGACAGUUAUUCACAACUUUCUUACACAAAUAAAAUCUCAUAUUUUCCAGAUGUCCUCGGAACCCAUUACGAGACCCCCUCCCAACUUUUAGUAUACAAAUCCAGACUUUGCAAAAUCAUGUUAAACUUUUUGACAAUUGAGCAAAUUUUCUAUAAAUUCAAAUCAAUCUUUAGACUGUUGGUUCUUAAUUGGGUUCCAAUCUUCAUCCCGCUUCCCUUGUUAGAUAUCUAAAGCCACUAGCCAUCCACACAUUUCUCAAAUGUGCUGCCAGGUGUAGCUAUCCACCUAUUUCUCAAACGCACUGCCAAGCGGCGCUAGCCCUCUAUCCUUAUUUCCCACAUUUCUCGACCCUCCAUCAUAGUCACAGAUGUCAUUUCCUUGUCUGCACGUGUCUAAUUAUGCUAUCUCCACCAUCUCCCACCGCCAACUGCCCACCGCUCACCUAAGUCGUCGCAAAUCCCCUUGGAUGCAACACAUAUAUGCUAUUCAAAUUCUAUUAAAUGCAGUUAAUUUCAAAUUGCUGGUGAUAGCCUAUAGCUUUAGCCUGAAUUUGGUUCUUACCUCCCUUUCGGUAGACCUCCAGACCUUAAACCUAGCCAGUCUAUUGCCAGAUGCGUCGCUAGGAAAUGGUCACCUUCUUCACCCCCUCAUGAAUGCAAUUAAAUGCCUUCCAUAGUCUUGUGUGUGGAUUUGGGUAACCAACUUUUUCCAGCCAAGUAAAUUUUCUACAAAUUCAAAUGUUUGGAUCUAAAUCGUGUUCAUAUCUUCACCCCGCUUCCCUUUUUAGAUCUCUAAACCCUAAACUAGUCAUCUACCUAUUUCUCAAACACGUCGCUAAGUAGCACUCGCCAUCUAUCCUUCUUGCCCUAAUUUUUCGCACCACCACCAUAGUUGUCGAUGUCAUUUCCUUGUCUAUCAUGCCUCUAAGUGUCUGAUUAAGCUUCUCCACCAUAUCCCACCUCUCACCUAAGUCACUGCAAACCCCCUUGGACGCACAUAUAUGUUAUUCGGAUUCUAAUCUCUGUAGUUAGUUUCAAUUUAUUGGGGACAACUUAGCUUAAACCUAAAUCUGGUUCAUAUCUCCCUUUUGCUAGACCUCUAAACCUUAAACCUAGCCAGCCUAUCGCCACACGCGCCGCUAGGAAAUGGACACCUUCUUUCUCCCCUCGCGAAUGCAAUUCAAUGGCCUUCCGUAUAGUCGUUUGUGUGAAUUUAGGCAACAAAUCUUUUGCCAGCCGAGGAAAUUUUCUGUAAAUUCAAAUCAACCUUUGGACCGUUGGCUUGGAUCUGAAUGAGGCUUUAUCUUCCCCUCGCUUCCCAGUUGCCGAGAUCUCUAAACCCUAACACUAGCCAAUCCACCCAUUUCUCAAACGUGCCGCCGAGCGGCGCUCGCUCUCUUUACUUUUUGCCCUUGUUUCUCGCCCCCUCCACCAUAGUCUUAGUCUCGUAGAUGUCAUCUUUUUUUUUUCUUUUUGCGGGUGCGUAGAUGUCAUCUUCUUGUCUUUAAUGUCUCCACAUGUCCGAUUACACCAUCUCCGCCAUCUCCCACCGCCCACCUAAGUCGCCGCAACCCCCCUUGGUCGCAGUCCAUAUAUCUUGUUCAAAUUCUAAUUUAUGUAUUUAAUUUCAAGCAUUGAUAUGCACUACUACGGACUGUUUCUUCUUGUUGUUGAACAACUGAUCCAACAGUUUUUGAUCAAAAGGCUAAACUGAACAAAAGAAGGGGAGCAAAAGAAAAAAAAGAUGAAGAAAAUAAAGCUAGGAAAAGCCAAGUCUACUCUAAAACUAUUCCUCCCGCAUCACGAAAAGUUGACGCAGACGCUGCCGUUCUUGGCGCAUCCGCACGCCGGGCACGCCUGCGCUGCGGCCGCGCACGGCGCGCACACGCAGAGGUGCCGGCACGGCAGCAGCAGCACCACGGCCGCGCCGUCGCCGCACCCCUUGCACCCUCCGACUCCUGUCGGAGCCGGCGUGCCCACCUCCUCCUCCGCGCAGAUGGGCACCUGGUUCUCCCCCCAGCAGCACGACUCGGCGUCGUCCUGACCGUCGCCGCCGCCGCCGCCACGGGCCGCCUGCGCGUUGAGCACCCGCUGCAGGUCGGCCCGGAGCACGUUGGCCGCGGCCUCGUGGGACUGCGCGGCGUCGCGCCACGUCUGAGCCUCCAUAUAGAGGUUCCUGAUGCGCUCCUCCAGCGCCCAGUUCAUGCCCCUGACCCGCUCGAUCUCGUCGUCCUUGGCCUUGAGCCGCUUCGCCGCCCUGGCCUCCACGGCCGACACGAUGAGCCUCAUGUGGCUCCGCCUCUGCUCCGCCAGAGCAGCCCACAUCUUUCUCGCCUGCGCCGUCGACCACCUUUAAUAACAAACAAAAGCUAUAGAGGAAAAAAAGCCGGAAACGAGGCGAUUAAUUUGAUCAGGGGACUCACAUGUCUGUGCAGGAUGUGGUCGACGGCGACGGUCUGCUGUUGCGCGUGGGCCGCAAGAACGUCGCCGGGCACGGACGACCGCUCGUCGACGCGCCUCCGCUUGUUGCCGGUGGUCAUUUCCUGAGCGCCGUCGCCCUUCCUGGCCAGAUCAACCGCGGCCAGAGCCAACAGCUCCGAGUGCUGAUCCGCGGCCAACGUCGGCGUGAAGAGGGCCGCGGCGCCGUAGCAAGGCCCGCUCGCAGUCGCAGGCAUGGCGGCGGCCGAGGCGCCCGGCCGGUUGGCGAGCUGGUGGUGGCCGCCGCCGGUGGCGAGUAACAUGUGGCGCAGGCGUUGCAGGUCCACGGCCAUGGCGGUCUGCUCCUGGCACUGGGAGGCCGCGCGCGGGGAGGACGCGCCUAUAUAUACACACAGGCAGAGGCAGCCAAGGGAAGGCGAUGGCGAUGAGUUAGUCAGAUGUGGCGAUGAGUCAUGUCAUGGAUGGAUCGGCGCGAGCGCGGCCGGGGUGGCGAAGAAAGAAACAAGGAGGUCCGUCCUUGGAUGACGGUAGGCGGCCGAGUAUUUAUGGUGCGUGCGUGACCGAUCGAGAAGAAAGCAACUGACGAUGAGAUUGACCCUCCGAUUAUCCUUCUCGUUUUCAGGAGCGAUUUCCUUUUAUUUAUGCCUUCCGUUUCAAUCAAAAUCUGCCUUUAAUAAUUUGAUUUAAUUUGGAGUAGAAACCAAGAAUAUAUUUGGCCGCAUAUACACAAGGGUCUGCAACCAACGGAUGCAUGUAUAUGAAAAUAUAUAUGGGGUCGAGUUCAUCGCUUGAUUUGCAGAAGAAGACCAAAUCAUUCAAGUUAGUAGGUUGUGGCGCCAAAUCAGCAGGAAUCGUUGAGGCUGCUUAGAUAGAUCUGCACGAAUCUUGGGGUCUAAGGAAACCCACAACAAAACAAAUUACCACGCGCUCUCUGGACUUGGUAAAGCGCCGUGGUUAGGCUGGUCAUAGUGGGGAGUAAUUUAAACUAGUGUCAUAUACAUGACACUAGUCUAAGUUACUAUUUUUAUAAUGCAAAAUAAUACUCCCUCCAUUCCAAAAUAUAGUGCGUCCGCGCUUUUCGAGGUCCAACUUUAUCCAUAAAUUUAAUCAACGAGACCAAUUGCGGCGGGAGAAAAAAAUUAUAUAAUUAAAAACUUCUUUCGAAUACGAAUUCACUGAUAUAAUUUUUGCUCCCGCCGCAAUCGGUCUUGGUAGUUAAAUUUACGGUCAAAGUUGAAACACGUGAAUAGAGGAAGCACUACAUUGUGGAAUGGAGGGAGUAUAAUAGAUGGCUUCAUUUAUUAGCUUGUAGACUCAUCUUGUCUUGGGAAGCGCUAUAUUACAGUAACAUAUUAUGUUACCAUUUAUCAUUAACUACAUGCUACGUAAGUAAAAUUUUCUUGAAAUGUGUUAUGUUACUAGCUAAGUUACUCCUACUAUGACUAGCCUGACUAGCCUUAGUGGAGGGCAAUUCGAUCGGAGAAGAAGAAGGGAAACUGCAUGCAUGCAUGCGUUUGGCGCGUUACGUAAUUAAGUUCAUGCACUGUAUCUGCAUGCACUAGGCUCACAAUUAACCCACGUACUUUAAUGUGCUGAUCGAGAUAUACUCCUAGGAGUACUAUAUGCGUUUUUUUGGCUGGUUAUAGCUGUAGACGUACGGUUGAGAAAAAAAGAAGCACAUUAUAGGUAUAUAAAUAAUAAGGGAGUAAGUUAAAGCGUAGAGGUAGAGACGAGGGCUCAAAAUUAGCAAGGACAUAAAUGAGUUCUUGCCUAUACUGUGCUCUGGUGCAAAUCCCGCCGAUUGAUCUGUACGUUCAAUUUGAUUACCAAAAUAGAUUUCUAAUCUAAUGCCAAAAUUCCAGGGUAGGUAUUAUCGCCUCCGUCGAUCGUACGUCUUCAAUUACGGGAUAUAUACACACAUGAUACUCACGUAACCUCGGCGCCAAAAUAGAAGUAACCACACGUACGUGCGUCACCAGCCGUACGUUCAAAACAUGACUUGUACAGCUGUACAAACACGAUGCAGAUCUGCAUGCCAACUCAUCACACAAGAGUAUGUUUGGCAUAUAUAUAUCUAUCUUUUUUUUUUUGCGGCGAUACUGUAGUAUCUAUCUUUGGAGAACAAUAAGGAACGAACGGCCAAACAAUCAGCGAACCCUGUUGGCAUGAGGAGGAAGAUAUCAAUCCGCGAGGAGCCAUGCAAAGAAUCAAAGAGGAGUUCGCCAUGUUUGGAUAUUCCACAGAAAGACGCCAAGGUUCUUCCUCUGGACACGGAUGCCGACCCCUGAGGCUGGGUGUAUUACAAUUACGUCUGAUAGAGCUUUAAACUCUGAGCUUGGUGUAGGGGGCGCUGGUGGUGUGGCGAGAUCGGCGACUUCCUUUCUAGGAGCGUGGAGCAAGCUGUACCCCGGCGUGUCGGAUCCACUGGUCAUGGAAGCGCUAGCACUGCGAGAUGCUGUCAAACUUGCUAAUAUUCGUGGAUUCACGCGGGUGCUUAUGAAGACCGACUGCCGUUAACUAGUCGAGCUAUGGAAUACCCGGUUGUCAGCGCGUUCUGUCGUAGCAUCGCUUUUAGAUGAAAUUAGAGAGCUAUCUCUGCAGUUUAAUUCCUUUGUAAUUCAACAUAUUUGUAGAUCGGCCAAUGUACCGGCGCACUUGUGUGCUAAGCUAGCUUGCACGCUUAGUGUGUCGAAAAGUUGGAUCGACGAGACUCUAAGCUUCCUGGUCGGUACCCUUUUGGCUGACUGCAACAGGAAUUCAUUAGUUGAAUAAAGCUCUAAAGUUUCCCGAAAAAACAAUCAGCAAACCGAACCGCUAUACAUAUCCUGAAAACACUGGAAUUAAUCACAGUUUUGCUAAAGCAUAUCUAGAUGUGCCAUAAGUAUUGCACAUCUAAGUCAUAUGUCAUUGAUCUUACAUUAAGGCAUCUUUUGGUUCAUAGGAUAGGAUUAUCAUAGGAAUAGGAAUCUUGUAGGAAAUAAGAUGACAUGUAUCUCAAAUCCUAUGAGUAGGAAUAGAAAACAAGAUGUCAUUUGGUUGACACCAAAGGAAUUUUUCCAUUGAGUCUAGCCUCUUUUUUAUUUUCUUAUGAAAUAUGGAGGAUAGGAAUCAAUCCUAUGUAGGAAUAGGAAUCCGUUCCUAUGAACCAAAGGGCUCUAAAGGAAAAAAUCCUAUAAGAAUCCUAUCCUCUAGAAUUCCUAUGAAAUUCCUCUAAACCAAAGGAGGCCUAAAAUUCGUGUGAAUAUUUUCUUUCUCUUUUUUCUUUUUCUCUUUAUGCUUGAUUCACUCACUUAGAUGUGCAAUAACUAAAGCACAUCUAGAUGUGCCCUAGACACACCCAAUUAAUCAAUAUGAUUGCAGUUUUCGCUUUCCAUGCAUUAAUCUCAUAUUAUUCUUGCCAUAGACCUUUUUUGAAGAGAUAUCUUCAAUGGACUUUUGUGCGCAAGGAAACAAGACUGCGCAUUCAAGUGGGAGUACACGGAUAAUUUCACGGAGACGCUUUGGCUGCUUCUUCUAGACAAGAAGAACAAGACAGCUGACGCGCACAGGGAGAGGGGGGAAAGAGAAGAAACACAACAACUUUCAAGGAAACGCAUGCCGGCGGGAGAGAGAUGAUCGGACGGACGGACGGGCGGACAGACGUGUCAUGCGCCGCGCGAAUAGCUCCACGUGCAGCGCGGUGGCACUUGCUCUGGCACUACCGGUCGAUCUGAACAAAACGUUUGGCAUGUCCCGAGACGUGCCACGCCUGCAUGCCGGGCCAGCGGCGUGGCACUUGUCAUGUCACACGCGUUUGGGGCUGGUACAGGUAUCCUGAUUAGCGCAUCCCAAUGUCGAGCCUUAAAAAAUAAUAAGGACACAAUAUUUGUCGACCGUAUGGAGCCGGUUAUCCAACACUGUCCCAAAACGUCUGCCAAUACUAACCUAAAAGAUCAGCUAACAUAUUUCGUAUAGUUUACAUUGAAGAAAAAUAAUAACGAAACAUGGCCGGGUGGAUCAGAUCGUGGGAGGAAGAAGGCAGUUGAGAGGUGGAAGACGACGUGUGAGCCGUUGGAUGAAGAUCCAACGACAGAAAAAAGAAGUGACUGGUGCUUGAUAUAUUUUCAGGUAUCUGAGGUUUAGUCGCCCCCCUACAACAAGGUAAAUCAUCAGCGUUGAUCAGUUUAGCUAGGUUUCUGUGACUGGCAUGGCCUCUUGGGCUUAACCGAUCAGUCUUGUGUGUUCUCGCGGCUCAUGCACUUCUUCCAGAGCUCACAGGGGACAGUAGCAAGCUCGGGGCCGGCGAUCUGCCGGAUCUCUCCAUGACCAGGUGCGGUGACCAAGUGCCACUGCAGCUUCGACGCCUAGCUCGACUAAACGCACGAGGUGGACGUGGCUAAUUAACCGGAGGUUGACACUGCUAGCUAAGUCGCCGCUGGAAUCUCGACGGCGUUGGUCGACGGGAUUCGUCUGUGUCUUGUGUCCCUCCCCCACUCGCCCUACCCAAACUCCCAAGCACACAGUCAGUCAACCCCUGCAAAGUCAGUCAACCCCGCUCCUCCUCCUCCUCCUCCUCCUCUUCUGCGACUAUGGGUCUGAUUGGUUGGAUAUUAGUAUGGCCAAGUCAAAGUGUGGCUAGCCACACAAGUAUGGCUGUGAAAUUGAACGUCAAACUUUGGCAAAAGUUGACAAAAAAAUUAUCUCUAUGAUAAAUGAGCCACGUGGGCAAUAAAAUGUGGCAAUCCAAAGUGUGGCAAAAAUCAAACACAUGCUAAUUAAACUGUGGCUGCCAAAUUUUGGCUUGGCAAACUGUGGGUGAGAACCAAACAGCCCUUAUAUAAACGCAACCGCGCCGAUGACCAAAACCCAAAUACAUCAGUCAGUCAAUUACUCCAUGCAAGCUCGUGGCAUGUCGCAGCAACGCCGCCGCAGCGCCGCCGCCGCCGCGCUGCUGGCGCUGGCGGUGCUGCUGGGGACGUCGCCGCCCGACGCAGCGGCUCAACAAGGUCCGGCCUGGCGGCCCCUCGUGGCGCGUGUCAACAAGGACGCCGCCACCUCCCUCUACACCAUCGCCAUCAAGGACGGAGGAGGGCCGCUCCUCCUCGACCUCGCCGGCCCAAUGCUCUGGGUCGCCAACUGCCCCUGCACGCACUGGGCCAUCGGGUGCGGCGGCAGCCACUGCGACGGCUUCCGCAAUAUGUUCACCCCGGAUGCCUGUGAUAGUGCAGAAUGGCCGGCGCAGGGGCAGGACACGUGCAUCUGCACCGCCUUGCCGUACAACCCGGUCGACGGGCGCUGCGUCGCCGCCCAAGCCACCACCAUCUCGAUCGCUGCCAACACCACGGACGGCAAGAACCCGCUCUCCCCGGUGACCUUCCCCGUCGUCGGGUCCUGCGCGCCGGGGGAUUUCCUGGCCUCGCUCCCGGAGGGCGUGGCCGGCGUCGCCGGGCUCGCGAGGCUGCGUAACUCUCUGCCGUUGCAGGUCGCGCAGUGGUACAGCCUGAAGCAAGAGUUCGCGUUGUGCCUGCCCAGGGGCGGGGACGGCGUGGCCGUCUUCGGCGGCGGCCCGUUCCAGCUCCUGGCCGCGCCGACCGUGGAGCUCGCCGACAGCCUCCGCAAGAAGCCUCUCCCGUUCCUCUUCAACCCCAAAAACCGCGCCUACUACUUCACCAUCACCGGCAUCGCCGUGAACCAGCAGCGCGUGCCCACGCCGCCCGGCGCCUUCGACUUGGAAAGGAGAGGCCAAGGCGGCGCCGCCUUCAGCACCGUCACGCCCUACACCGCGCUCCGCUGGGACGUCUACUGGCCGCUCCGCAACGCGUUCGACGCGGCCACCAGCGGCAUCGCGCGCGCGGACAAGGUGGCGCCGUUCGACAUGUGCUACCAGGCGUCGGAGCUCGCCAUGACCAGCGUGGGCUACGCCGUGGCCAGCAUCGACCUGAUGCUGGACGGAGGCCAGAACUGGACGCUGCCCGGCGCCAGCUCGCUCGUGCAGGUGAACGACCGGACGGUGUGCUUCGCGUUCGUUCAGACGGAUUCGUCGGUGCCGGCACAUGCUGAGUCGCCGGCGGUGAUCCUCGGGGGGCACCAGUUGGAGAAUAACCUGCUGAUGUUUGAUCGGACAAGGACACGUUCGCGUUCAGUGGGCUGCUGCUCGGCAUCGGCACUACCUGCAGCAACUUCGACUUCAGCAUCGGGAGUUCUUAGAAGCAGUAGUGUCACUGAUCUUGCGAGUCGAGCUAGCUAGCGCCGGAGUGCCACCGUCUGUACUCGAGUACGGUUUCGUUUCAAUAUUACUAGCGUACUAGUGUUGUGUUAGCAACGAGAAUAAAGUAAUACAUCCUCAAGGAUUUGAGAUUUUUAACACAUUGUGCUAUCUGAUUUUUGAUGUCUGAUUCUCAUGCGCUGCACAAAAUGGGUUGACAAAUUCAUGUGAAUAUUGCACAAGUUUAAAUUGCACACCUUUGUCCAAUGAAAAAAAUAGCCUCAGGGCGUCAAAUCAGCGCAGAAAUUCAAACGGCCAACAUUCAGACCUAGUCUUGAGAUUUCGAGGCCCCGGGACGAAACUAGAACAUGGGGCCUAACAAGGGUGGACACGUUCAUGGGAGUGGGUGCCUAGGACCCCACCCAAAAUAUGAAAUUCACUCAUUCUACAUAAUUUCUGUGUAUCCAUGAAAAAAAAUAUCAAAACUAGAUGAAUGUUUGCAAAAGGUGCCCCCACUCCUAUAGUUUGCAUCCACUUAAAAUAGUUUCAAGGUCCGCUCCUGAGCCCUAACAUUUUUAGAUGCAAAGUCACUAAUUGUGUAUCUUCUGAUCAUAACUGCGGCACCGCGGCGUGGCUAUUUGUCAAGACAGAGAUGGUUCUUACCUAGGCUCUUCAGUGCUUGUGAUCCAAGGUUUGCUUGAUGCAGCCACUCUAGAAGCAAUAGCGUGCAGGGAAGUGUUAUCACUUGCAGAAGAUCUAAACUCGCAACACUUUCAUAUUGCAUCUGACUGCACAGAAGUGGUGAAUGGAAUACGGGUCAAUUUUGGAGGAGUUUUCGGAGGAAUCAUUAGGGAGAUAAAGCAAAGAGCAAUGUCUUUUAUUUUCAUAUAAUUUCGUGCAUGAAUUCCGAGCAACAAUUCAUGAAACUCAUAUAAGGUAGCUAGGUUUGGUACUACUCUCCCCGAGGGGAGACAUAUUUGGUAGGGGUCACCUGACGAUGCUCUUGUUAUACAUGUACGAUGCUCUUGUUAUACAUGUAAAAUAUUGAUAUGAGUUAAUAAAGCCUGGCUGUCUUUCUAAAAAAGAGAGAGAAUUGGAGACACACCUUCGCACGAUGGCCUAUGGUAGCGAUGCGGUCUCCUCUCAGCGACUUUAGCCUCUCGAGACAGCCGCAAGGUGCCAGCGAUGGGCGUCUCCAGCCAAGGCUAAAAUAAUUUCUGCAUGUAAAAAAUACAUCAUGCUGAACUAAAAUAAUUUUGUUUCUGUAGUUGGGAAAGCUUAUAUCUAAAAUUUAAAACAUAGAAUCUUGUGCAAACAGAUUGUGAUCAUGACGAAACAGUAGAUGAUUUUACUGUUAGCAAUUAUGUUUUUCUAAAAAUUGAAGUAAUGUGUUGUCAAUUGUUUUUUUGCUUUAUUUUAAAAAAUAUAACUCCAAAUAUUAUAAUAAAUAUAUUAAAAGAAAUACUUUAGAUAAACAUCGAGACAAAUGUUGAGCAAGCAUUUAAAAAUGUUCAAUUUGUAUAGAGAAAAUGUUUCUCGUGUAGAUGAAAAACAUAUACAAUGUGUGUGAAAAAAAAGUUGAUCGUGUAUUUGAAAACAUAUUUAAAAAUUAUUUGAAAAAUGUUAAUCAAGCAUUUGGAAAAUGUGAAACGUGUAUAAAAAUAUGUUCAUCGUGUAUUAAAAAAUGUUAAACUUGUAUUUGUAAAAUUUUACAUGUGUAAACAGAAAAUGUUGACCAUGUAUUCAGAAACAUUAAACUUGUAUUUAAAAAUGUUAAAUGUGUAUAAAAUGUUGACCAUGGAUUCAAGAAAUGUUAAACUUGUAUUUAAAAAUGUUAAUCAAGCAUUUGAUUUUUUCAAUGUGUAUAAAAAUGUUGACCAUGCGUUCAGGAAAUGUUAAUAUGGUAUUUGACAAAUGUUAAUUCAGAAUUUGAAAAAUAUUAAAUAUGUAUUAGAUAUAUACAAAAAAGGUGUAUAGAAAACCAGUGGAACUAGAGAGAAAACAAGAAAAAAUGAUGAUAAAUGAGAAAGAGACAAACAAAACCAAAGUAUUAAAAAGGAAAGAAAAGAAGAAGAAAACAGGAAAAAACAAUAAAGAAAACCAAAGAAAAAGAAAGAGCCAGUAACACAGAGAAACAAACAAAGAAAACCCGGUGAAAAGACAAAGAAAAGCUAGAAACAAAAGAAUCCGGAAAAAACAAUGGAAACCGACUAUUUUCUUCUCAAGUAGCUCCCGCCCUAGUAUUCACCACGGACCCAACGCGGCUAAAUUUCGUGUUUUGACCCUUUUCUGAAACCUAUUCGAGAUUUGACCUUAGUUUGAAAAAAUUUCGAGAUCUGACCCUUUUGCUACCGCCAGGGACCAUGGCGGUAGGGUAUAACAGCCUACCGCCAAGGUCCCUGGCGGUAGGGUUGCAUGCUCUACCGCCAAAAACCUCCUAAGUAUUGAACACAAUGCGUGCUCGUGCCUACCGCCAAGCACCUUGGCGGUAGGGUUGUGCAGUCUAUUGUUGGAAAUAUGCCCUAGAGGCAAUAAUAAAUUGAUUAUUAUUAUAUUUCCUUGUUCAUGAUAAUCGUUUAUUAUCCAUGCUAGAAUUGUAUUGAUAGGAAACUCAGAUACAUGUGUGGAUACAUAGACAACACCAUGUCCCUAGUAAGCCUCUAGUUGACUAGCUCGUUGAUCAAUAGAUGGUUACGGUUUCCUGACCAUGGACAUUGGAUGUCAUUGAUAACGGGAUCACAUCAUUAGGAGAAUGAUGUGAUGGACAAGACCCAAUCCUAAGCCUAGCACAAGAUCAUGUAGUUCGUAUGCUAAAGCUUUUCUAAUGUCAAGUAUCAUUUCCUUAGACCAUGAGAUUGUGCAACUCCCGGAUACCGUAGGAGUGCUUUGGGUGUGCCAAACGUCACAACGUAACUGGGUGGCUAUAAAGGUACACUACAGGUAUCUCCGAAAGUGUCUGUUGGGUUGGCACGAAUCGAGACUGGGAUUUGUCACUCCGUGUAAACAGAGAGGUAUCUCUGGGCCCACUCGGUAGGACAUCAUCAUAAUGUGCACAAUGUGAUCAAGGAGUUGAUCACGGGAUGAUGUAUUACGGAACGAGUAAAGAGACUUGCCGGUAACGAGAUUGAACAAGGUAUCGGGAUACCGACGAUCGAAUCUCGGGCAAGUAUCGUACCGAUAGACAAAGGGAAUUGUAUACGGGGUUGAUUAAGUCCUUGACAUCGUGAUUCAUCCAAUGAGAUCAUCGUGGAACAUGUGGGAGCCAACAUGGGUAUCCAGAUCCCGCUGUUGGUUAUUGACCGGAGAACGUCUUGGUCAUGUCUGCAUGGUUCCCGAACCCGUAGGGUCUACACACUUAAGGUUCGAUGACACUAGGGUUAUAGGGAAUAGUUAUACGUGGUUACCGAAUGUUGUUCGGAGUCCCGGAUGAGAUCCCAGACGUCACGAGGAGUUCCGGAAUGGUCCGGUGGUAAAGAUUUAUAUAUGGGAAGUCCUGUUUUGGUCGCCGGAAAAGUUUCGGGGUUUAUCGGUAACGUACCGGGACCACCGGGAGGGUCCCGGGGGUCCACCAAGUGGGGCCACAAGCCCCGGAGGGCUACAUGGGCCAAGUGUGGGAGGGGACCAGCCCCAGGUGGGCUGGUGCGCCCCCCCCCCCACAAGGGCCCAAGGCACCUCCAAGAGGGGAAGGGGGCAAACCCUAGGGCAGAUGGGCCCUAAGGCCCACCCCAGGUGCGCCUCCCCCUCUCCCCCUUGUGGCCGCCACCCAAAUGGGAUCUGGGGGCUGCCGCCACCCCUAGGGAGGGAACCCUACGUGGGGGUGCAGCCCCUCCCCUUUCCCUAUAUAUACUUGAGGUUUGGGCUGCCCAAUACACAUGAGUUCCUCUCUUUCUUGGCGCAGCCCUAUCCCUCUCUUUCUCCUCAUAUCUCGCAGUGCUUGGCGAAGCCCUACUGGAUCACCAUGCUCCUCCACCACCACGCGGUUGUGUUGCUGCUGGAUGGAGUCUUCCUCAACCUCUCCCUCUCUCAUUGCUGGAUCAAGGCAUGGAAGACGUCGUCGGGCUGUAUGUGUGUUGAACGCGGAGGUGCCAUCCGUUUGGCACUAGGAUCUUCGGUGAUUUGGAUCACGACGAGUACGACUCCUUCAACCCCGUUCUCUUGAAUGCUUCCACUUAGCGAUCUACAAGGGUAUGUAGAUGCACUCUCCUUCCCUCAUUGCUAGUUUCUCCAUAGAUAGAUCUUGGUGACACGUAGGAAAAUUUCGAAUUUCUGCUAUGUUCCAACAGUGGCAUCAUGAGCUAGGUCUAUUGCGUAGAUUCUAUGCACGAGUAGAACACAAAAUAGUUGUGGGCGUUGAUUUUGUUCAAUAUGCUUACCAUUACUAGUCCAAUCUUGAUUCGGCGGCAUUGUGGGAUGAAGCGGCCCGGACCGACCUUACACGUACUCUUACGUGAGACUGGUUCCACCGACUAACAUGCACUAGUUGCAUAAGGUGGCUAGCGGGUGUCUGUCUCUCCCACUUUAGUCGGAUUGGAUUCGAUGAAAAGGGUCCUUAUGAAGGGUAAAUAGCAAUUGGCAUAUCACGUUGUGGUUUUUGCGUAGGUAAGAAACGUUCUUGCUAGAAACCCAUAGCAGCCACGUAAAACAUGCAAACAACAAUUAGAGGACGUCUAACUUAUUUUGCAGGGUAUGCUAUGUGAUGUGAUAUGGCCAAGAAGAAUGUGAUGAAUGAUAUGUGACGUGUGAGAUUGAUCACGUUCUUGUAAUAGGAAUCACGACUUGCAUGUCGAUGAGUAUGACAACCGGCAGGAGCCAUAGGAGUUGUCUUUAUUUAUUGUAUGACCUGCGUGUCAUUGAACAACGCCAUGUAAUUACUUUACGUUAUUGCUAACCGUUAGCUGUAGUAGUAGAAGUAAUAGUUGGCGAGACAACUUCAUGAAGACACGAUGAUGGAGAUCAGGAUGAUGGAGAUCAUGGUGUCAUGCCGGUGACAAUGAUGAUCAUGGAGCCCCGAAGAUGGAGAUCAAAAGGAGCAAAGUGAUGAUGGCCAUAUCAUGUCACCUUUUGAUUGCAUGUGAUGUUCAUCAUGUUUUUGCAUCUUAUUUGCUUAGAACGACGGUAGUAAAUAAGAUGAUCCCUCAUUAAAAUUUCAAGAAAGUGUUCCCCCUAACUGUGCACCGUUGCGAAAGUUCGUCGUUUCGAAGCACCACGUGAUGAUCGGGUGUGAUAGAUUCUUACGUUCACAUACAAUGGGUGUAAGCUAGAUUUACAGACGCGAAACACUUAGGUUGACUUGACGAGCCUAGCAUGUACAGACAUGGCCUCGGAACACGAGAGACCGAAAGGUCGAGCACGAGUCGUAUAGAAGAUACGAUCAACAUGAAGAUGUUCACCGAUGUUGACUAGUCCGUCUCACGUGAUGAUCGGACACGGCCUAGUUGACUCGGAUCAUGUAAUCACUUAGAUGACUAGAGGGAUGUCUAUCUGAGUGGGAGUUCAUAAGAUGAACUUGUUUAUCCUGAACAUAGUCAAAAGGAUUUUGCAAAUUAUGUCGUAGCUCGCGCUUUAGUUCUACUGUUUAGAUAUGUUCCUAGAGAAAAAUUAGUUGAAAGUUGAUAGUAGCAAUUAUGCAGACAGUAAAAGGCUUAUGUCCUUAAUGCACCGCUCAGUGUGCUGAACCUCGAACGUCGUCUGUGGAUGUUGCGAACAUCUGACAUACACAUUUUGAUAACUACGUGAUAGUUCAGUUAAACGGUUUAGAGUUGCGGCACCGAAGACGUUUUAAAACGUCGCGAAACAUAUGAGAUGUUUCGAGGGCUGAAAUUGGGAUUUCAGGCUCGUGCCCACGUCAAGAGGUAUAAGACCUCCGACGAUUUUCUUAGCCUGCAAACUAAGGGAGAAAAGCUCAAUUGUUGAGCUUGUGCUCAGAUUGUCUGAGUACAACAAUCGCUUGAAUCAAGUGGGAGUUGAUCUUCCAGAUGAAAUAGUGAUAGUUCUCCAAAGUCAUUACCACCAAGCUGCUAGAGCUUCGUGAUGAACUAUAAUAUAUCAAGGACAUAUAUGAUGAUCCUUGAGAUAUUCACGAUGUUUGACACCACAAAAGUAGAAAUCAAGAAGGAGCAUCAAUUGUUGAUGGUUGGUGAAACCACUAGUUUCAAGAAGGGCAAGGGCAAGAAGGAUACUUCAUGAAACGGCAAAUCAGCUGUUGUUCUAGUGAAGAAACCCAAAGUUGAACCCAAACCCGAGACUAAGUGCUUCUGUAAUAAGAGGAACAGCCACUGGAGCAGAAUUACCCUAGAUACUUGGUAGAUGAGAAGGCUGGCAAGGUCGAUAGAAGUAUAUUGGAUAUACAUUGUGUUAAUGUGUACUUUACUAGUACUCCUAGUAGCACCAUGGUAUUAGAUACCGGUUCGGUUGCUAAAUGUUAGUAAACUCAAAAUAAAAGGCUGCGGAGUAAACGAAGACUAGCUAAAGGUGAGCUGGCAAUAUGUGUUGGAAGUUUUUCCAAGCUUGAUGUAAUCAAGCAUCGCACGCUCCCUCUACCAUCGAGAUUGGUGUUUGCGUUGAGCAUAGACAUGAUUGGAUUAUGUCUAUCGCAAUACGGUUAUUCAUUUAAGGAGAAUAAUGGUUACUCUGUUUAUUUGAACAAUACAUUCAAUGGUCUUGCACCUAAAAUGAAUGGUUUAUUGAAUCUCGAUCAUAGUGAUACACAUGUUCAUGCCAAAAGAUAUAAGAUAGUAAUGAUAGUACCACCUACUUGUGGCACUACCACGUAAGUCAUAUCGGUAUAAAACGCAUGAAGAAACUCCAUGUUGAUGGAUCUUUGGGCUCACUCAUUUUUGAAAAGUUUGAGACAUGCGAACCAUGUCUAUUGGUGUAUAUGCAUGAAGAAACUCCAUGCAAAUGGACCGUUUGGACUCACUUGGUUUUGAAUCACUUGAGACAUGCAAAUCAUACCACAUGGGCAAGAUGACUGAAAGCCUCGUUUUCAGUAAAAUGGAACUAGAAAGCAACUUGUUGGAAGUAAUACAUUUUGAUGUGUGCAGUCCAAUGAGUGCUGAGGCGUGUAGUGGAUAUCGUUAUAUUCUUACUUCACAGAUGAUUUGAGUAGAUGUUGAGUAUAUUUACUUGAUGAAUCACGAGUCUGAAUUAUUGAAAGGUUCAAGUAAUUUCAGGGUGAAGUUGAAAGAUCGUCGUGACAAGAGGAUAAAAUAGCCAUGAUAUGAUCAUAGAGAUGAAUAUCUGAAUUACGAGUUUGGCACAGAAUUAAUACAUUGUGGAAAUUGUUUCACAACUAAUACAUCCUGAAACACCAUAGUGUGAUGGUGUGUCCGAACAUCAUAACUGCACCCUAUUGGAUAUGAUGCAUACCAUGAUGUCUCUUAUCGAAUUACCACGAUAGUUUAUGGGUUAGGCAUUAGAGACAACCACAUUCACUUUAAAAUAGGGCACCACGUAAUUCCGAUGAGAAGACACCGUAUGAACUAUGGUUUAGAGAAACCUAAGCUGACAUUUCUUAAAAGUUUGGGGCUGCGACGCUUAUGUGAAAAAGUUUCAGGCUGAUAAGCUCGAACCCAAAGCGGAUAAAUGCAUCUUCAUAGGACACCCAAGACAGUUGGGUAUACCUCCUGUCUCAGAUCCGAAAGCAAUAGGGAUUGUUUCUGGAAUCGGGUCCUUUCUCGAGGAAAGGUUUCUCUCGAAAGAAUUGAGUGGGAGGAUAGUGGAGACUUGAUGAGGUUAUUGAACCGUCUCUUCAACCAGUGUGUGGCAGGGCACAGGGAUUUGUUCCUGUGGCACCUACACCAAUUGAAGUAGAAGCUUAUGAUAGUGAUCAUGAAACUUCAGAUCAAGUCACUACCAAACCUCAUGGGAUGACAAGGAUGCGUACUACUUCAGAGUGGUACGUAAUCCUGUCUUGGAAGUCAUGUUGCUAGACAACAAUGAACCUACGAGCUAUGGAGAAGCGAUGGUGGGCCUGGAUUCCAAAAUGGCUCGAGGCCAUAUAAUCCGAGAGAGGAUCCAUAUAUGAAAACAAAGUGUAGACUUUGGAAGAACUACUUGAUGGUCGUAAGGCUAUUAGGUACAUAUGGAUUUUUAAAAGGAAGAUGGACAAUGAUGGUAAGUAUCACCAUUAAGAAAGCUCGACUUGUCGUUAAGAUGUUUUCCGACAAGUUCAAGGAGUUGACUACAGUGAGACUUUCUCACUCGUAGCGAUGCUAAGAGUCUGUUGGAAUUAUAUUAGCAGUCACUGCAUUAUUUAUGAAAUCUUGCAGAUAGGAUGUCAAAAACCAUUAUUUCCUCACGAUUUUUUUGAGGAAAGGUUGUAUGUGAUACAACCAGAAGGUUUUAACAAUACUGAAAGAUGCUAACAAGUAUGCAAAUCUCUAGCAAUCCUUCUAAGGGCUAGAGUAAGCAUCUCGGAGUUGGAAUAUACGCUUUCAUGAUGAUCAAAGAUUUUGGGUUUAUACAAAGUUUAUGAGAAACUUGUAUUUCCAAAGAAGUGAGUGGGAGCACUAUAGAAUUUCCGAUGAGUAUAUGUUGUUAACAUAUUGUUGAUCGGAAAUGAUGUAGAAUUUCUGGAAAGCAUGCAGAGUUAUUUGAAAAGUGUUUUUCAGUGGAAACCUGGAUUAGGCUACUUGAGUAUUGAGCAUUAAGAUCUAUAAGGAUAGAUCAAAACGCUUAAUAGUACUUUCAAAUGAAUACAUACCGUGACAAGAUUUUGAAGGAGUUCAAAAUGGAUCGGCAAAGAAGGAGUUCUUGGCUGUGUUAUAAGGUGUGAACAUUGAGUAAGACUCGAAACCUGACCGCGGCAAAAUAGAGAGAAAGGACGAAGGUCGUCCCCUAUGCUUUUGUCAUAGGCUCUCUACAAUAUGCUAUGCUUUGUGCCGCACCUGAAGUGUGCCUUGCCAUGAGUCAGUCAAGGGGUACAAGAGUGAUCCAAGAAUGGAUCACAGGACAGCGGUCAAAGUUAUCCUUAGUAACUAGUGGACUAAGGAAUUUUCUCGAUUAUGGAGGUGGUAAAAGAGUUCGUCGUAAAGGGUUACGCCGAUGCAAACUUUGACACUAAUCCAGAUUAUUCUGAGUAGUAAACUGGAUUUGUAUAGUAGAACAAUUAUUUGGAAUAGCUCCAAAUAGAACGUGGUAGCUGCAUCUAGGAGAUGACAUAGAGAUUUGUAAAGCACACACGGAUCUGAAAGAUUCAGACCCGUUGACUAUAACAUCUCUCACAAGCAUAACAUGAUCAAACCCAGAACUCAUCGAGUGUUAAUCACAUGGUAAUGUGAACUAGAUUAUUGACUCUAGUAAACUCUUUGGGUGUUAGUCACAUGGGGAUGUGACCUUGAGUGUUAAUCACAUAUCGAUGUGAACUUGAUUAUUGACUCUAGUGCAAGUGGGAGACUGUUCGAAAUAUGCCCUAGAGGCAAUAAUAAAUUGAUUAUUAUUAUAUUUCCUUGUUCAUGAUAAUCGUUUGUUAUCCAUGCUAGAAUUGUAUUGAUAGGAAACUCAGAUACAUGUGUGGAUACAUAGACAACACCAUGUCCCUAGUAAGCCUCUAGUUGACUAGCUCGUUGAUCAAUAGAUGGUUACGGUUUCCUGACCAUGGACAUUGGAUGUCAUUGAUAACAGGAUCACAUCAUUAGGAGAAUGAUGUGAUGGACAAGACCCAAUCCUAAGCCUAGCACAAGAUCAUGUAGUUCGUAUGCUAAAGCUUUUCUAAUGUCAAGUAUCAUUUCCUUAGACCAUGAGAUUGUGCAACUCCCGGAUACCGUAGGAGUGCUUUGGGUGUGCCAAACGUCACAACGUAACUGGGUGGCUAUAAAGGUACACUACAGGUAUCUCCGAAAGUGUCUGUUGGGUUGGCACGAAUCGAGACUGGGAUUUGUCACUCCGUGUAAACAGAGAGGUAUCUCUGGGCCCACUCGGUAGGACAUCAUCAUAAUGUGCACAAUGUGAUCAAGGAGUUGAUCACGGGAUGAUGUAUUACGGAACGAGUAAAUAGACUUGCCGGUAACGAGAUUGAACAAGGUAUCGGGAUACCGACGAUCGAAUCUCGGGCAAGUAUCGUACCGAUAGACAAAGGGAAUUGUAUACGGGGUUGAUUAAGUCCUUGACAUCGUGAUUCAUCCGAUGAGAUCAUCGUGGAGCAUGUGGGAGCCAACAUGGGUAUCCAGAUCCCGCUGUUGGUUAUUGACCGGAGAACGUCUCGGUCAUGUCUGCAUGGUUCCCGAACCCGUAGGGUCUACACACUUAAGGUUCGAUGACGCUAGGGUUAUAGGGAAUAGUUAUACGUGGUUACCGAAUGUUGUUCGGAGUCCUGGAUGAGAUCCCAGACAUCACGAGGAGUUCUGGAAUGGUCCGGUGGUAAAGAUUUAUAUAUGGGAAGUCCUGUUUUGGUCGCCGGAAAAGUUUCGGGGUUUAUCAGUAACGUACCGGGACCACCGGGAGGGUCCCGAGGGUCCACCAAGUGGGGCCACAAGCCCCGGAGGGCUACAUGGGCCAAGUGUGGGAGGGGACCAGCCCCGGGUGGGCUGGUGCGCCCCCCCACAAUGGCCCAAGGCACCUCCAAGAGGGGAAGGGGGCAAACCCUAGGGCAGAUGGGUCCUAAGGCCCACCCCAGGUGCGUCUCCCCCUCUUCCCCUUGUGGCUGCCACCCAAAUGGGAUCUGGGGGCUGCCGCCACCCCUAGGGAGGGAACCCUAGGUGGGGGCGCAGCCCCUCCCCUUCCCCUAUAUAUACUUGAGGUUUGGGCUACCCAAUACACAUGAGUUCCUCUCUUUGUUGGCGCAGCCCUAUCCCUCUCUUUCUCCUCAUAUCUCGCAGUGCUUGGCGAAGCCCUGCUGGAUCACCACGCUCCUUCACCACCAUCACGCCGUUGUGCUGCUGCUGGAUGGAGUCUUCCUCAACCUCUCCCUCUCUCCUUGCUGGAUCAAGGCAUGGGAGACGUCGUCGGGCUGUACGUGUGUUGAACGCGGAGGUGCCGUCCGUUCGGCACUAGGAUCUCCGGUGAUUUGGAUCACGACGAGUACGACUCCUUCAACCCCGUUCUCUUGAACGCUUCCGCUUAGCGAUCUACAAGGGUAUGUAGAUGCACUCUCCUUCCCUUGUUGCUGGUUUCUCCAUAGAUAGAUCUUGAUGACACGUAGGAAAAUUUCGAAUUUCUGCUACGUUUCCCAACAUCUAUCGCCAGCCCGGUUGGCGGUAGCGAUGUUUCCUACCGCCAAAGUCCCUGGCGGUAGGCUAUUAGACCUUUCCGCCAUGGACUCUGGCGGUAGCAAAAGGGUCAGAUCUUUAAAAAAAUUCAAACUAAGGUCAAAUCUCGAAUAGGUUUCAAAAAAGGGUUAAAACACGAAAAUUUGCCACCCAACGCUUACUCAAUGGCUAGAAGUGCUGCCCAUCAUCGAGGAGGCCUAGGAUCGAAUAAUGGGAUGGCGUGCCAGUCCAAGCCCGUGUUGGGCCGAGCAUGUGUGCUCAUGGGCCGACCCACGGCCUAUUUGGCCAGGUUUGGUUCCUGCUGUUUACUACUCCUUCCGUUUCCAAAUACUUCUAUAAGUCAUUCUAAAGAUUCCACUAAGUGACUACAUACGAAGCAAUAUGAGUGAAUCUAUACUCUAAAAUAUGAUACAUACAUCCAUAUGUUGCAUUUCAUUUGAAAUGUUUAAAAGGACUUAUAUUUAGGAACGGAUGGAGUACUACAAAAACUACUCCCACCUUUUCUUUUUAUAAAAUAUUUUCGACAAUUGAUUUUAGACUGUUUCGAGAAUUGUCUAAACUAUUUAAAACGUCUUAUAAAAAUAAACAGAGAAAGGACUAGAUCGCCUAAAAAGGUUGUCGUGAUUGCGAACUAAAUUUAUCACCAUUGCGCCAAUAUAAAUUGUCAUAAAAAAGUUAGAUUUGUCAUGCCUAAGCACUUCUCAUCGCAAAGCAAUAUGUGAUUCGAUAGUUAGGAGGAUAGUGGUAUUCCUAGUCCACCAGGAUUCAAGUUCUGGUGCUCGCAUUAUUUCUAGAUUUAUUUCAGGACUCCGGCAACGUGCGUUCAGUGGAAGGAGACGUUCCUGUCGAUUGAAGACGUCUGUGGCGACUUUGUCAAUCUCAAAAUGAUGUGCCAGCUCGAUCUCUCGUAGGUGUUCAUAAAGGUAGGAGAUGUGUGCAUGUGUUUAUAGGGAUGAGUGUAUGUGCGUCAAUAUGAGCGUUGAGUCAGUAUCGUGUUAAAAAAACCUGCCAUCAGAUUCUUUUUAGGCCUCCUUUGAUUUGAAGGAAUUUUAUAAGAAUUUCAUAGGAUAGGAUUUUUACAGGAAAAAUUUCAAUAGAGCUUUUUGGUUUGUAUGAAUGAAAUCCUAUUUUUAUGGAGAAAAUCUUUCUAUCUUUCACAUUUCAUAGGAAAAUGAACAUUAGCGACUCAAUGAAAAAAUUCAUAUGAUAUGAAACAAAGGACAUCUCCUUUUCUAUUCAUACUCAUAGGAUUUGAGAUGCAUGCCAUUUCAUUUCCUAUGACUUUUCUAUUCCUAUAAUUUUCCCAUCCUAUGAACCAAAAGAAGCCUUAUUUUCCUAUGAAAUAUGGAGGAUAGGAACCAAUCCUAUGUAGGAAUAGGAAUCCAUUCCUAUGAACCAAAGGGGUCUAAAGAAAAAUAUCUUAUAAGAAUCCUAUCCUCUAAAAUUCUUAUGAAAUUCCUCAUCCGCUCCGACUCCGCGCAUUUGUGGAGCUUAGUUUAGCCCGCUCCGUAAAAAUGAGCUAGAGGCUCGUCCGCUCCGGAGCGGAGUGGAGGGAGCGGAGAGGAGCCGAACGCGGUCUAAGACUCAAUGAAAAAAUUCCUAUCCUAUGCAUCAAAUGACAUCUCUUUCUCCGUAGGAAUUGAGAUACAUGUCAUCUCACUUUUUAUGAUUUUUCUAUUCGUAUAACAUUUUUAUCAUGUGUCAGAAUCAAAGGAGGCCUUACGCUCUGUUUGGAUGUAGACAUUCAAGACCUGGAUAUUGCAUUGGCUCCAAUGCCUAAUAUCCCAAGGCAUUGGUAUUGAGCUGCAAUGCCACACUUUGUGUUUGGAUGUUCUUGUAUUGGGCACUUGGAAUUCAAGGGACGAAGGAAUGCCAAAUCUUGUUUGGAUGCGCAUGGUGUAGAAUUGGGCAUUGUGAAAUGUAUGAACAAUAUAAUAAUUUCUUGUACAAGUUUGAAAAUUAAAUCUGAUCAUCAUGCCAUACAUUUGAGAGAUUAUGUAUUAUAAUACAAUAAAAUUGCAUGCAAAUAAUUUAAAAUUGGCACAGACAACAUCAAUUGUCCAAAAUACAAGAAAAAUUGGCUGAAAAGUGUACAUAGGCAACAUGAGCAUAUUAUCAUGCACUGGACAAGUUCCAACUCCUCAAAAACAUGAAAAACAGGCUGAAAACUGUACAUUACAGUAGUAUACAGCAACAUAUUAUGAUGAACUUGAUAACACAAUCAACUGUUCAAAAACAUGAAAAAUUAGGCUGAAAACUAUAUGUAACAGCCACAUAUCAUGAUGAACUUGAGAACAUCAAUUUGUCCAAAAACUAUCAUCAACAGCAACAUAUUAUGAUAACCUUGCCAACAACAUUACAUAUUAUAACAUGUCUCACACCAUUCAGAACACAUAGCAAGUCUUGUGCAUAACAAUGAAACUUUAGGACAAGUUCGAAGUCUCUCACAAACUAGGAGAAAUAAGAGUAGCAACACACAUACAUAUUAUCCAUCAAGAGCCAUUCUACUAAUUCAACAUCAACAACCAUUCCUUCCCGAAGUUCAUGGGAAGCUCAAGAAGCGCUUGGUACAAGCGUUCGCUAAGGAUCAACUUACCAUAAGAUCGCAAGAUGUCACCACGAGCUAGAUCAGGGAUCAUCUCAAGUGUUGCAAGGAUUUCAGCAGGAGGUGUAACUUGGGGCAGAGGUAAAGGCUCGAGUGACUUCAAAGCAUCAUGAAAUGAGCCUUUCAUAUCCCCAAGAAGGCACAGGAUGGCAUCACCAGUUCGUUUUUUUUGUGGCACUUCAGGAGAGGCUUCAUUGGGUUCCGUAGUUGGUUCUACAACAGUUUCAGCACCAGUGACAGCACCUUCACCAUUUGCAUGAUCUUUUGAGUAUAUGGUGGUGAUAGCAUCCCAAUUCUUAAUGACCCUGUUCUUGUAAAAUCCUACUUUCUUGUUAGCCUGCACACACACACACACACACACACACACACACACACACAAAGAGAGAAUUGUCAAACAAAGGUAGAUCUUACAUAUGUACAAUAUAAUCAAAAUGUGGAAAGGAUAAAUUUCUUACCGCGACAUAUUUAAGCCACACAUUUUCACUAUCAAUUGACAGCUUGUUAUUGACCCAAUCCCACCCAAAUCCACUUUGAGAUAGCAUCUUGCUAAUGGCCUCGUAGUGCUUUUCAAAGGUUUUGCACCUUGAACUGAUGUUUUCCUUUGUGAUGGUCACAGAGCACUUCUCACGCACAUUACCUAUAACAGCACUGUAGACAUGGGACUUCCAUCCAUUCUGGGCAUGAUCGCCAUUGUUGUGAUGCUCAACAAGGACCUCGAGUAGUGCAGUGUCCAUUUCAUCUGUCCAUGUGAGGUAAUUUCUACCAAAUUUUUUUCCACCUCCUUCAGCCAUGGUCCUACAAGAAAAUGCAUGCACAUAAUAUCCAAACACAAAGACAACAUAGGGUGCGUGUAAGUUGAAACACAAAGACAACAAGGUAAUGUCACACACACACACACACAUAUAUAUAUAUACAUAUUAAUUUCAUAAUAUGAGGCAUGUACAGAAUACCCAAAAGGCACGCAUUCCACCAAAGUCAUAUCAAGGUUGAUCCACACAUCCCACCAAAGUCAUAUCAACUAGCUAGCACAAAAGAGAACACCAUUAUCUAGUCGACCCGCACAUCCUACUCCAACUCUAGUUCAGCAUGUCUCACGAGGUACUCGUCAAACAUGUCAUUAGCUAGCUGCUCCCUAAAGUUGGUCCAUGAAGUGCUGACUUGAACACUCCUAAUUAAGUUAGCAUCAUCUAGAGGAUCAUCUUCGGAAGAGGCUAUUUCAUUAUCCACUUCCUCGAGCAACAAAUCAUCCAUCAUAUGCUGCCUAUCCCUUGCAAAGUUGUGUAACACACAACAAGCAUUAAUAAUUCGAACCUGCAAUAAUAUUUGUUCAUCGUAAGCAUUUUCCAUUUAGUUUGCAUCUUAUUCAGCACCAUAUGAACACAUCAUACCUGGUCCUUUAUGUCAAAGAAAGAUUGACAACGUAGGAAAGCCCACUUUUUCUUCCACAACCCAAAUGUUCUCUCGACUACAUUUCUAGCUCGAGAAUGACGCAAGUUAUACAGCUCUUUGGGAGUUUGGGGCUGUUGUUGACUUGAUACCCACCCUUUUAAGUGAUACCGAGUCGAUCUGAAUGGAGCAAGAAAUCCCGGACCGUUGGUGUAACCAGCAUCAACUAAAUAAUAUUUCCCUAGUGUGUCAAGCAAGUGAGUUAGCUAACAAUUAUACAGAGGAGAAAUGAAUUACCAAGAGGAAGUGUCAUACCCUGUGGUACGACAAAUGCAUCUUGGCGGCUCAACCUCAUUGCAUCACGCAAGACUCUUGAGUCAGAAGCUGAACCCUCCCAGCCAGGCAAGACAUACAUAAAUUUCAUAUUCCAAUCAACCACACCAAGCAUGUUAGUGCUGAUAGCUUGCUUCCUGUUCCUAUAUCUCCCUUGGUCACACACGGGCACACAAACAUCAACAUGACACCCAUCUAGUGCUCCAAGUGCAUUGCCAAACCACUUCCAUUUGUAAUCAUCAGGUGGCUGAGUAGAAGGAUCAGGAAGCUUAAUGAACUCCCCGGUUAGAGAUAGAAUCGCUGUUAAUACAUCGUCAAAGUGGGUACUAAUAGUCCAUAAGGAGCGCUUGUAAGUGCCACGCAGAAUCCUCAUUUUGAUACCAUGGCCAACUACCAACAAGAACAUUGCCACCUUUUCCUCCACGGAAACAUAGACACUGUCAUGAAGACCAGCCCUCUCACGCAACAUGGUGCAUAAGUCAUGGAAGUUUCUUUUAGUUAAACGCAACUGAUCAUAGCAUGUUACUUCUGCCCCAUCAUACAUUCCUUUUAGCAAAUACUUCCGAUGAAUGUUCUUUUCCUCAUCAUCACUAAAACUCCCUAAAUCCCUUGGUGCCCUCCUCGUACUAAGAUAUGCUAUCCCAAGAAGAAACGAUUCAAAGUACAGUUUGGUCAAAACUAUCCGUCUCCUCUUUCUUCUUUUGUUCUCCUCGUUUAUGUAAGCAACCAAGUCCAUGUCAGACAUGGUGCAGCUACAUUACAUUUCACAAAUUAGACAUUCAUGCCUCAUUCAAUCACACAAGUAAAUAUACAAAGACAUGGUACAACAAGCAUUUCAAAAAUUAUGCUAUGGCUAGCUAUUAAGGACAAGUCAUCAAUCAGCCAUACGACAUAAGCAAGCAAGAUACCAAUCAGGCAUAUAAGACAAGCUAUCAAAAAUUGUUGUACUAAUUUAUGCUACAACAAGAUAUCAAAAUUUAGCAAGCAUUCAAUCAUUUAAGACAGGGCACAACAAGCAUUCACUAUAUAGUCAAAUACUGAUUCUAGUUCUCUUCACCACAUGAAUGCAUGGCCAAACAAAACUUAUUUUUUCCUUACUGAUAGCAGAAAUUAUCUCUGAACAUACCUUCAGUUGGUCUACAGGGAUGUGCCAAUCCAAGACAAAUAACCUGCAGCAGAGUUAAUUUAAGACAGAUUAGUAUCUUACUAUGCAAACAUAUUGGGGAGGAGGGACGAACUGUGAUGGGGAAGAGGGGGAGCGGCCAUCAGAUCUGAAUGGGAGGGAGGGGAGGACAUGGGAUUAGGGUUGAGUAGGAGAGGGAGAAGGGCGGAUGGGGGGUGGUAGAUGGAUGGAGCUACCGCUGGUAGGGAUGGGAGAGGGACAAUCCAAGGGACGGGUCGCCAGCGGCCAUCGGACCUGAAAGGGCUGGGGAGAUUGGGGAGGGCAGGGAGAGAUGAAGCACGAGGAGAAGGCCUACCGGAGCAAGGGGAGAAGGAGGAGGAGGAGCGGGAGAUGGAGGAGACCUGCCGGAGAUGGGAAAGGAGGAGGACGGCGGCGGGAGAUGAGCACCCACCUGCGUCGCCGCUGUUCUCCCGCGCCGCUUCUCCUGUGGCCUGUCUUCUCUGUUUUCGGGACAGGAACGGGGAGGGUUGAAGAGGUAAGCGAGCCAGACCAGGCAAUUUCAGCCGAAAACAGACCAGGGAGGCAAGGUAUUCGCGCGGGCACUCGCUAGUCUUGGCGCGCUGUGUCCAAUAUCAGGCUACGAUGCCACGACCGAAUACCCAGGGCAUCCAAACGCUGGCAUUCGGGAGUUACAAAUGCCAAAUCCCAAUAUUACCUCUCAAUCCUUACAUCCAAACAUAGCGUUAGUGUUUUCGAAGAAAAAAAACUCCUACACGUGCGCGCACGGUGGCGCUGCAAGUCAAAGCGGCCACGUCUCCGCUCCCCGCCGCCGCACAUCUCCCCUACCUCCGUCUGCACAGCACAGGAGAUCUAUCUCUUCAUUCACACCUCUUCCCCCGCCGCUCUCCGUUCUACCGACCGGCACCGGAAAAGAUAGAGACGCCCCGCGCGCGUCGGCUGGCUCCUGGUUCCGUCCGCCGUCCCCCCACUGCCCGCUUCUCCCGAUCCCCUUCCGAGGUAGGUAAGACCUCUGACUAACCUCUUGGUUUGGUUGCUCACCAGUAACUACCACCUCCGGACGGGGUCACCGAGAAUCGGUCGACGGAAUCGACACAGCCUUUCACUGGUAGUGGUCGGCUCCUGUUUCUUCCGUUGGGUUCGUGACCGUAUCGUACGCGAGCAUGCUAGCUAGCUUCAGAUCUUGUUCACGCCACCAAGCCUCGGGUUCUGUUUUGGUUUGUGCCGAUCGAGAUGAACAGACCGCUCUACUGUGGCAACACUGCUGCUGGCCCGGGACGUAGAGCUUUCCUGGCUACAGGCUACAGCACUGCUGCCUUGUGAAUUUAAUCUACCUACCUAUUUAUAUGCAUCCUUGUUAACUGGAGUAAGUACUGUACUUAUUUAGCAUACAAAAGGAAUGGAUCCUACAAGUUACACAACCUAAUAGUAACCCCUUUUGUUUUGGCUGACCAUAUGUUGUUUCUUGCAGUUUAGUUGGCUGGCUGGCUGGCUGGCAUGGCUGCUGAAUCCCAGACCGAGACUGGCAACUGCAGUGCCUGGGCGGCAAAAGAUCCUUCUGGAAUACUCUCCCCACACAGUUUCAACCGUAGGUAAUAAAUAAUAAACCACGCGCUAACACUCCCUCAGCUGUAGCAAACGAGUGAUCCUUCUGGAAUAAGAGUAUGUAUGCAGUUGACACAAGCUCCCAUAAAAAAAGGCUUUAAUAAUGCAGUUAUUGGUGUUAUGUACGUAUUAUGCAAUUCUUUUUUCUCUGUGCUUUGAAUAACUUGUCUUUGUUCUCUGAAUAAAUAUAGACUUGUAUGUGCAUACUAGCCCAGUUAUUCAUCGCUGUAAAUUAUGAAUAGAGAUCUUGCAGGCGCCGAGUGAAUAGCUGCUUUGUUAGAUCCUCUGCUUUCUUAGCUUGUUAAUUUCUUCUUAGAACUACUAAGCAGUUCUUAUGCAUACUUGCUACCCUGAUUGAUUACCAGGACUGUACGACAUGACGAUGUCUCUUUGAGGAUCACGCAUUGUGGUGUCUGUUACGCCGAUGUUAUCUGGACAAAAAAUAGGCACAAUGACUCGGUGUACCCUUUAGUCCCUGGGUAAGCUUUUCAGAUCAUCGUAUUUAUUUACUUGAAUUGUUUUUGUAUCAAUCCGUUCAUUGACCCCAUCUAGUUGCUAGCAUUUUGUACCAACAAAUAAUGGUUUAUGUGCUAAGUUGGGUGCCCACGAUUCAAUAUGUUACAGGCAUGAAAUUGCUGGAGUUGUAACUGAGGUUGGUUCAGAUGUCAAGGGCUUCAAACUGGGCGACCAUGUGGCUGUCGGGACAUAUGUCAACUCAUGCCGUGACUGUGACAACUGCAAUAGCUUCCUCGAGAACCACUGCUCAAAGUUUGUUUUCACUUUCAAUGGUGUCGAUACGGACGGUGCUGUCACAAAGGGAGGAUAUUCCACUCACAUUGUAGUUCAUGAACGGUAUGGAUGCAUUCUCUUCUGGAUGUUCUGAAUUUGGUGUAGGUUGUCUUUGGACAAUCGUCGUGGCAAUUCUUUUUUGCCUCCAGUAAAAACCCACGUUUCUCGUAUAAGAAUAUUGCAUUUACUGUUAAUUCAUGUCAGGUACUGCUAUAAAAUACCUGAUGGCUAUCCAUUGGAAAAGGCAGCACCUUUGGUUUGUGCUGGGAUCACUGUGUACACUCCGAUGACGCGACAUAACAUGAACCAGCCGGGGAAGUCACUGGGUGUCAUUGGUCUUGGUGGGUUGGGUCACAUGGCAGUGAAAUUUGGGAAAGCCUUUGGCCUGAAGGUGACUGUUCUUAGUACAAGUGAAUCGAAAAGAGAUGAAGCAAUCAGCGUUCUUGGUGCAGAUAAUUUUGUGGUGUCGUCAGAUAAAAAACAGAUGGAGGUACUGAACUCUUUAAUCUCUUUUAUAAAGCUGAGUGCGAAACAACAAAUAACAGACCACAACAAGCACAUAUCUCCUUACCUUAUGUUAGAUUCCAGUUGAACUAGCAUUAAGCCAUUAAAUGCACAAAGGAACGGAGCUCGGUAAACCCUACAGUCUAGAACCUAGUAACCUACUUCAUAUUUCAAAGGAGUACAGUUAAACUGAAACAGGCAUGUCCUCAGUUAGUGUGCUUAAAUAAUUGUUUAAAUGCUUCCAGUAUCAAACAGUUUCUUAUCAACCUACUCCACUAUUUCUCCCUGCUGCUGUUCCCAGAAAAAGUGGAAUGCUCAUUCAGGAGACACUUGCGACAUAUGAAAUGGUCCAACAUAUUCCGCGACUAGGAUUGACGCCACACUUCGCAACACAAUUCUGCUCUUCUUUUGUUCGAAGGGUCUCUUGUUUUUUUCGAAGGAUCUCAUCUUUUCGUGUUUACUGGAGAAUAUUUUUCACUGACACAAAAUACUACUCCCUCCGUUCCAAAUUACUCGUCGUAGAAAUGGAUGUAUCUAAAACUAAAAUACAUCUAGAUACAUCCAUAUCUGCGACAAGUAAUUCAGAACGGAGGGAGUAUUAAUUUUGUUUUUUUUAUUUAUUACAUGUACAAUGGGUAACUUAUAGCAUAUGCAGAGUGACUAAGUUAUUUGUGACGUUGUUCUAACAUCAUUUGAUUGCAGAAUGUCUCUUGCACAAGAUGAAGUAAUAUAGCUGAAUUCUGCUUGUUAUUCUUCUCACACUGCUUAUAGUAAGUGAGAAUAACGAAAUGAUUCAUUUCUGCAGUCCCUGAAAAAUUCUUUGGACUUCAUUGUCGAUACUGCCUCUGGUGACCACCCAUUUGACCCUUAUCUCGCACUUCUGAAAGUUGGUGGCGUAAUGGCGCUAGUUGGCUUUCCUGGAGAAAUCAGAGUGCAUCCUGCAACACUUAAUCUGGGUAAACACUAGCUGUUGAGUGAAAAGUAUAUUUUUUUUUACCUUUUAUGGUUGUAUGAGACUGUAUGCCUUAAAACAGGCCACUAGCUGUUGGUUUCAUGGCUCAAAACUUGCCGACGGAAUGUGGAUAUAUAAGCAUUCGAACGUUGUUGCUGGUGUUUUGGUGUGAUGAAACUGGGUUUCGGCCUUUUAUCGAAAGAUAACUAAUCAGAACUUACUGCAGGUGCACGGACUUUGUCUGGUAGUGUGACUGGAGGCACGAAGGACACCCAGGAGAUGAUGAACUUCUGCGCGGCAAACAAAAUCUACCCAGAGAUUGAGGUUAUAAAGAUAGACUACGUCAACGAGGCCCUUGAGAGGCUUGUCAACCGGGAUGUGAGGUACCGGUUUGUAAUCGACAUAGAGGGCUCUUUCAAGUAAUACGCUCGCGGCUGGCACAUUUUGAAUCCUUAUAAAAGCAUGUGGAAUAAGUUGAAUCUUGUGGGAAUGGAGGGCUUUCUUCUGUAAUGUUCUGGUAUAUUUUCCUGUCCAUGCAAUCUUGUGGUAUGUUGGGGACAGCACAGCAGCACAAGUGGAAGGGCAGCUCUUUAGAAGGGAGAGACAUAACUUGCCCUUCAAAUUUCAUCACAUCCAAAUUACUUUGAAAACCGGAAACCCGUUGGUGCGAAAAUAUUU
rnacentral:lncRNA from 1 species